AUGCAACUACUUAAAUACAAGUACCUCAAAUUUGUAUACUUAAAUACAGUACUUGAGUAAGUGUACUUACAUUCCA